rnacentral:pre_miRNA from 1 species
GAGACACUCUUAUGGGGCAAGACUUGCUUCAGUGGGGCUUUGGUGCUUACUGAGUCUGCCCUCUGAGUGUGUCCCU